AUUGAACGCUGGCGGCAGGCCUAACACAUGCAAGUCGAGCGGACGAACGGACCUAGCGCGUUGUUUCAGCGGCGGACGGGUGAGCAAUGCCUGGAAAUCUGCCUAGAAAGGUGGGAUAACGUCGGGACCAGCGGGGUAAGACCUCAUACCAUCAGACGGCCAAAGGGUGGGACCUUGGGACCUCGCGCCCUCACAGGAGCCUAAGUCGCGGUAGCUAGUUGGUGGGGUUGAGGCCUACCAAGGAGACGAUCCGUAACUGGUCUGAGAGGAUGAGCAGGCACACUGGCACUGAGACACGCUCCAGACUACUGCGGGAGGCAGCAGUGGGGAACAUUGGACAAUGGGCGCAAGCCUGCUCCAGCCAUGCGGCGUGCGUGAAGAAGGUCUUCGGCUUGUAAAGCACUUUCAGUCGGGAGGACCCGCAGUAAGUUAAUACCUCGCUGUUCUGCCGUUCCCCAGAGAAUAAGCACCGGCUAACUUCGUG
rnacentral:rRNA from 1 species